GUGGGGAAUUUUGGACAAUGGGCGAAAGCCUGAUCCAGCAAUGCCGCGUGUGUGAAGAAGGCCUUCGGGUUGUAAAGCACUUUUGUCCGGAAAGAAAUCCUUUGGGUUAAUACCUCGGAGGGAUGACGGUACCGGAAGAAUAAGGACCGGCUAACUACGUGCCAGCAGCCGCGGUAAUACGUAGGGUCCGAGCGUUAAUCGGAAUUACUGGGCGUAAAGCGUGCGCAGGCGGUUUUGUAAGACAGAUGUGAAAUCCCCGGGCUUAAACUGGGAAUUGCAUUUGUGACUGCAAGGCUAGAGUGUGUCAGAGGGGGGUAGAAUUCCACGUGUAGCAGUGAAAUGCGUAGAGAUGUGGAGGAAUACCGAUGGCGAAGGCAGCCCCCUGGGAUAACACUGACGCUCAUGCACGAAAGCGUGGGGAGCAAACAGGAUUAGAAACCCCAGUAGUCC
rnacentral:rRNA from 1 species